AAGACAGAGAGCUGCUUAAAAGGUCAUGGGAGAAGUACAAUGUCUGGGGACUUGGCAGUAGCCUGGCAGAGACCGCAGGAAUCCUAUAGAGUCUUUUAUGGACAGGGCUCUGAAAUUCCAGAGCCUGCAGGAGCUCCUGCCUGAGGUUUAUCUACAAAUGACACAGAAAGGACACCAGGCCCAUUCAGAUGGCAACCCAGGAAGACACCAGUCCUUCUGUCCUCACAUUAACAGAAGGAGGCCUCUGCUCGAGAGCCUUCAUGGGGGCUGAGGAACCUUUGGGAGCCUGAGCUGAUGGAGACUGGGCCUAAGCCUUUGGCCUACAGAGUCUGAGACCCUGGUGAUGUGGGCGCCCCAGGCAAUGAAUGCUGCCUUCAUAUCACCAGUAGUGUUUAUGUUAGAAUGUGCCCCUUCAGUGACUGUGGCAGUCUGCAAUGUAUUAAUCCACUCAAUGGCUAGGGCCUUUAACGAGUAUUAUAUACUUCCAAGAAGGUGCUAGCAGAGAGCCUCACCAUGCAUUUUACAGCAAAGAAGUGAGCAAUGUCAUUAAGACACCCUCCAACUUGCAGUUUUUAGACAGAAGGCCAAUUCUGUAUGUAUAAGAACACUGUAUGUAUUAAACGUGGUAAUGAUCUCCCAGGCUGCUGGAACCAUUUGUUCACUAUCACAGAACCAUGACUGAUGACAUCUGGUAAAAUGCUUUCCCUAAAAAUCCUGCAAAUUCACCUGACGUUCUGGUUCUGGGUAAAACAGAGACAGUAAAAUAUCUUGAGGCAAAUAUUAAGGACAAUACCACAGCCCAGGAGAACUGGACACUAGAGCCGAGUCUUCCCUUUUUCUUCCUUCUGUACAGCAUGGAAAGCCAGUCAGCAGGCUCCAGGAAGCAGCCUUUCUGAUAUUCUCUUUGCUUUUUUUUUUGAGACAGAGUCUCGCUCUGUCACCCAGGCUGGAGUGCAGUGGCACAAUCUCGGCUCACUGCAACCUCUGCCUCCCGGGUUCAAGCAAUUCUCCUGCCUCAGCCUCCUGAGUAGCUGGGACUACAGGCACGCACCAUCAUGCCUGGCUAAUUGCUGUAUUUUUAGUUGAGACGGGGUUUCGCUGUGUUGGCCAGGCUGGUCUCGAACUCCUGACCUCAAGCGAGCUACCAGCUUCGGCCUCCCAAAGUGCUGGGAUUACAGGCGUGAGCCACUGGGGCUCCCCACUCUGAUAUUCUCUCAACUGCCUGUAAGCUCCACACUGCCCUCAGGAUGGUGGUCUAAUGCCUUAGCGUGGCUGUCAAGCCAUCUGUGUUUUGACUGACCUUAUCCCCCGACACUCCCAGAUCGUGAGCCUUGUGCUUGGUGUUGCCUACAAUCUCCAUAGCCUUCCCCAUCCUUCCACCUUUGCACACCUACUUAAAUUCCUCCAUGGUUGCAAUUAGCUCUCAGCUGCCUUAUUUGCUUAUUCAUCUCUCACUCCACUAGACUGCAAGCCCUUCCAUAGCAGGAAACAUGAACUACUCCUAUUUAUUCCUAUGUACAUGCUUGGGACAUAGAAAGCAAGAAUUAUUUGUUGAACGACUGGAUGGAUGAAUGAAUGCUUCAAAAGAGCCAUUUAAAAUGUAGAUUCUCAUUGAAUGCUCAGGUUUCAGGGUGAUGGCUGUGUUCACUUGUUUAGCAAUAGUAGAGGACAUUUUCACUACCUGCUAGCGUUUGGCUCCUCAGUUUUGUUUAAUAGAAGAUGUAGUAUUGGGGCAACAGUAAUGAGUUAGAGAACAGGCAGGUUUUCAACAGCAGCCCUUUAUUGCAGCAAAAAUUUAUUGCAGCAAAAGAUAAUCUGAGCCAACCACAACCUAAAUCACUGUU
rnacentral:lncRNA from 10 species